CUGCAUAACCCCGACAACUCACAAAUUUGCUACUGAAGAGCCUUAUCCACAUUAGCUUAGAAGAAGAUAUGUGAUUUAUGAAAAUUUGCCUUUUAACCCUAUGCCACACAAAAAAUGCCCAAACAUUAUUUCAUAACCAUGAUUUUUGCCACAGUAACUUCUCCAAACAAUAACAAGUCAUCAACAAAGAAUAAGUGGGAAAGAGUUGGACAUUGACG
rnacentral:lncRNA from 1 species